AUUGAACGCUGGCGGAAUGCUUUACACAUGCAAGUCGAACGGCAGCACGGGGGCAACCCUGGUGGCGAGUGGCGAACGGGUGAGUAAUACAUCGGAACGUGCCCAGUCGUGGGGGAUAACGUAGCGAAAGCUACGCUAAUACCGCAUACGAUCUCUGGAUGAAAGCGGGGGACCGCAAGGCCUCGCGCGAUUGGAGCGGCCGAUGGCAGAUUAGGUAGUUGGUGGGGUAAAGGCUCACCAAGCCGACGAUCUGUAGCUGGUCUGAGAGGACGGACCAGCCACACUGGGACUGAGACACGGCCCAGACUCCUACGGGAGGCAGCAGUGGGGAAUUUUGGACAAUGGGCGCAAGCCUGAUCCAGCCAUUCCGCGUGCAGGAUGAAGGCCCU
rnacentral:rRNA from 1 species